UGGGGAAUAUUGCACAAUGGGCGCAAGCCUGAUGCAGCCAUGCCGCGUGUAUGAAGAAGGCCUUCGGGUUGUAAAGUACUUUCAGCGGGGAGGAAGGGAGUAAAGUUAAUACCUUUGCUCAUUGACGUUACCCGCAGAAGAAGCACCGGCUAACUCCGUGCCAGCAGCCGCGGUAAUACGGUGGGUGCAAGCGUUAAUCGGAAUUACUGGGCGUAAAGCGCACGCAGGCGGUUUGUUAAGUCAGAUGUGAAAUCCCCGGGCUCAACCUGGGAACUGCAUCUGAUACUGGCAAGCUUGAGUCUCGUAGAGGGGGGUAGAAUUCCAGGUGUAGCGGUGAAAUGCGUAGAGAUCUGGAGGAAUACCGGUGGCGAAGGCGGCCCCCUGGACGAAGACUGACGCUCAGGUGCGAAAGCGUGGGGAGCAAACAGG
rnacentral:rRNA from 1 species